rnacentral:tRNA from 1 species
AUCCCUGUGGUCUAGUGGCUAGGAUUCGGCGCUUUCACCGCCGCGGCCCGGGUUCGAUUCCCGGUCAGGGAAA